UACGGGGGGAGCAAGCGUUGUUCGGAUUUACUGGGCGUAAAGGGCGCGUAGGCGGCCACGACAAGUCACUUGUGAAAUCUCCGGGCUUAACUCGGAAAGGUCAAGUGAUACUGUCGGGCUAGAGUACAGAAGGGGCAACUGGAAUUCUCGGUGUAGCGGUGAAAUGCGUAGAUAUCGAGAGGAACACCUGCGGCGAAGGCGGGUUGCUGGGCCGACACUGACGCUGAGGCGCGAAAGCUAGGGGAGCGAACAGG
rnacentral:rRNA from 1 species